rnacentral:piRNA from 1 species
AUUUGGGUCCAUUCGUAUUGUC